rnacentral:rRNA from 1 species
UACGGAGGGUGCAAGCGUUGUUCGGAUUUAUUGGGCGUAAAGCGAGUGUAGGCGGUUUGACAAGUCGGAUGUGAAAUCCCGGGGCCCAACCCUGGAACUGCAUCCGAUACUGUCAGGCUAGAGUCCCGGAGAGGGUGGCGGAAUUCCCGGUGUAGGGGUGAAAUCCGUAGAUAUCGGGAGGAACACCAGUGGCGAAGGCGGCCACCUGGACGGUGACUGACGCUCAGACUCGAAAGCGUGGGUAGCAAACAGG